CGUGUAGAAGGAGUUGGUGGCAGGAGAAGGGGGGCCCGCUCCCAUUUUCGCUCUCUUCCCUCUCCCUCUGCUGCGCCGAAAACCGAUACGACACCGCUCGCCAUUGAAUCUUCCACGACACGAUUCGAUUAUUCUCGAUGACGUGUUUUGAUUGGUAAAGUACGCGCGGCGAAACGAGGCAUGGCGAAAGUGGCUAAACCAAGUUCUGUGCCCUCGAGCUCUCACCAACUUGGCUCCGGACCUUUGAAAACUGGAUCUAUGGCUAGAAAGAAGACACCGUCAGAACUUAGGACUCGGCGAUUAAGGUCAUUCUCUGAUGUUGAUAAUAGCCCAGAAUCUUUGCUGGCUUUUAGUGGCAACAACAAUGUACAUGCUUUAUAUGACUUUUUACUAAAUUACAGAUUUAACUGAGUGAGAAUAUGGGUAAUACGUUCAAAUUCAAGUAACAUGGAUUUAACUUUAGAGGAACAUUGCUUGGUAAUGAACCAUGGUUUCGAAAACAAAUCAAGCAGAGCCCUGAUUGCUAUGAUUGAGUUUUGUGACGGAACCUAGCUCAAUUGGCUUGAAUGUUGCCUUAAAAUCAACUUGUGAAAAGCCAGAAUCUAAAGCUGCUGGUAGUGAAAGCUUACAAGACCACGGAAGUACUUUUGGCAUUCCAGAAGCUGUAGUCACUUCUCGACUGUGUUCAUGUUCAUUAAAAGGCGUAAGGUAAUCUGCCAGUUUUUCCAUGUUUGAAGUAAGGAUAUUCAUCUUAUGACCAAGAGUGUCAAUCUUUCCGAUUAAGAGUUAUUGCUUUAGUAUUAUCUAGAGUAAAGGACCGGCUAGUGAGAUGCUAUAGAUCCUUAAUUCAAAUCUCAUCAAGAGAAGGUACGUUGUCUGGCAUGCGUACUUGUUGAAGGUGAUAUAUGGCCUAAACAAUUAUCAGAAAUUAAUCUGAUUUCAAGGCAGUUUUUCUGAGCUGAUCUGAAUGGGAACUGAUGAAGAAAGCACAGCUAAAGUUUCUAAACCAUCUUCUAGUUCUUCUACUCAGGAAUCAGCUACAAACAAGAAAGGGAGUUUUGACCAAAUGCUUGUUGAUGGAGCCAAUGCACGGAAGAAUUCUGUGAGCACCAUUCCUCAUUCUUCAGUGCCUGGAAAUCCCGCUGUCUCAAUGUCUCCAACUAGUCUUAAUAUUGGAAUGGACUUGUGGGACCUGCUGGUGCCGAAGCUGCAAAAAUGAGACAUAAUCAGUCUUCUGCCUCAGAAGCUGUUACUCCUCCAACCAUAAUGGGACGUGAAGUCGCGCUUGGUGAACAAUGGAUACAAGCUCAAUUCAACCUGCAAUUCCAAUGCCAGUUCAUAUUUUUCUAAAUGCUUUAAAGGAAUCUGUGUUAAGGCGCACUUCAAUAUAUAUUAUUUAUCAGGUACCAACUUAAUUGGACCGGUUACAAGUUUUGUAUUCAUAUGUCAUUGAUAAUAUGUAUUCUAUGAUUUAUAUACAAUCCACUAAGAAGAGUUGAAUGAACAAUUGAGUGCCAAGGCAGAGUUGAAUGAACUAAGAAGAGACCUUCCAGAAAGUAUGCAAUCCACUAUUUUCUUUCUA